rnacentral:rRNA from 1 species
UACGAAGGGGGCUAGCGUUGCUCGGAAUCACUGGGCGUAAAGGGUGCGUAGGCGGGUCUUUAAGUCAGGGGUGAAAUCCUGGAGCUCAACUCCAGAACUGCCUUUGAUACUGAGGAUCUUGAGUACGGGAGAGGUGAGUGGAACUGCGAGUGUAGAGGUGAAAUUCGUAGAUAUUCGCAAGAACACCAGUGGCGAAGGCGGCUCACUGGCCCGUUACUGACGCUGAGGCACGAAAGCGUGGGGGGCAAACAGG